GACAGAGGCCUCAAGCGUUAGGCGGAAUCACUGGGCUUAAAGCGUGUGUAGGCGGAUCGUUAAGUGCCUUGUGAAAUCCCACGGCUUAACUGUGGAACGGCUGGGCAUACUGGCGGUCUUGAGCCAUCUAGGGGCGACUGGAACAAACGGUGGAGCGGUGAAAUGCGUAGAUAUCGUCAGGAACGCCAAUGGUGAAGACAGGUGACUGGGCUAGUUCUGACACUGAGGCACGAAAGCGUGGGGAGCGAACGGG
rnacentral:rRNA from 1 species